GUAAACACACAGCCCAUGCUGGCUACGUGCCAGAGAGCCAUGCUGUAGUGUCCCAUCCCCCCCGCUCCUCCCUUGUCUCCGGCUUCUGGCCUGAGUCAUUGCAGACUUCAGGUUCCUCUUGUGGAUCUGGACCUCAAGUGAAAGUUGGAGAGUAACAGCAGGACAAGAUGGAGAGGGUUCUCCCCUUGCCAGACCCACAGGGCCAAGUGGUAUGUGUAGAGCAGUCAAAGGAAGGACUAAAUCAGAAAUAGGAAGCAGAGCAAAUGCCAUCUUCUCUGGAGGACCAAAGAAAGCUUAGGCACUUUUGAAGCUGGCUUAUCAACAGUACUCAAAAAUUACAGCUCAUUGGUUUGAAUCAAGUGUGAAACCAUCCAGUGUCCCUGGACGAAGCCCAAUUAAUUUUUUCUUGAAAUUCAAAAUUUUGGAUUGUAUUUCUAGUUCAAUGAAUUUAUA